rnacentral:rRNA from 1 species
CGCCUCCGACUGAUCGGCUCGGAGAUCCUCCACCCUUUGUGUACCUACCUCUGUUGCUUUGGCGGGCCGCGGUCCUCCGCGGCCGCCCCCCUCCCCGGGGGGGUGGCCAGCGCCCGCCAGAGGACCAUCAAACUCCAGUCAGUAAACGAUGCAGUCUGAAAAACAUUUAAUAAACUAAAACUUUCAACAACGGAUCUCUUGGUUCUGGCAUCGAUGAAGAACGCAGCGAAAUGCGAUAAGUAAUGUGAAUUGCAGAAUUCAGUGAAUCAUCGAAUCUUUGAACGCACAUUGCGCCCUUUGGUAUUCCGAAGGGCAUGCCUGUUCGAGCGUCAUUACAACCCUCAAGCUCUGCUUGGUAUUGGGCACCGUCCUUUGCGGGCGCGCCUCAAAGACCUCGGCGGUGGCGUCUUGCCUCAAGCGUAGUAGAACAUACAUCUCGCUUCGGAGCGCAGGGCGUCGCCCGCCGGACGAACCUUCUGAACUUUUCUCAAGGUUGACCUCGGAUCAGGUAGGGGAUACCCGCUGAACUUAAGCAUAUCAAGAAGCGGAGGA